AUAUAAUUUUUCACUAGAUACUUCUAGUACUAUUCACAAUAAUUCUCAUUUUUAAAUGAAUGUGUCAUUUCAAAUAUAAAAUUGAAACCGCAUAAGAGCUGGAAUCAAAACCACCUGGUAAGGAAAAUGAGUUGAAAAAGCAAAUGAAAACCCAAGCAAAGUGUAAGUAAAUGAGUCCAGACAUGUUACAUUACCCCCCAAAAGUGCCUUGGCGGCUUUGUGACUUGUUAGUGUGCUCAGGGAAACCCUGCUGAACCUUUGUUGAAAGUCACACCAUUGAUGUGUAAUCACGUCCACUGUGUCUUCAUUAAGGUUUUGGUGCUUUAUCUUCUCAGCAGGGCACCGUUCCCACUUCUACAGCCUCCUAAAACUCAGCAGUCAAGAAAGCAAUGAAGAAAGACAGUGUUAUCAUGCACAGCACUCAGAUCACUACUGGCAAGCUCAACAAAUUGGACAUCCUUUUUUUGCCAAGAACGACGUGGCAAAAUCAUCUGACCACCAGUGAGCUGAUGGAUAGGAAAGCAAGGAGGAGGCAGCAUUUCAGUUUUGAGGUCUAACGCACUGGGGUUGAGCGGCAUACAGAGUUGGAGUAAGUGCCCAUACAGUAUAUCAGUGACAGGGUUCAGAGGCUGAGAUCGUGGAGCUGAGCACUGCGGAGCCAGCAGGGUGAAGCUGGCAGAGAUCUGCUCUGCACUCCAUCGAUCU
ensembl:lncRNA